AGAUGUGGAUGAUGACAACACAAUUAAAAUACAGUUAUCCCUGUCUGAUUCCUUCAAAAAGGGUGCUGAGAACAUUUUUCUGACACAUUU
rnacentral:snoRNA from 1 species